UACGUAGGGCGCAAGCGUUGUCCGGAAUUAUUGGGCGUAAAGAGCUCGUAGGCGGCUUGUCACGUCGAUUGUGAAAGCCCGAGGCUUAACCUCGGGUCUGCAGUCGAUACGGGCUAGCUAGAGUGUGGUAGGGGAGAUCGGAAUUCCUGGUGUAGCGGUGAAAUGCGCAGAUAUCAGGAGGAACACCGGUGGCGAAGGCGGCCAUCUGGACGACAACUGACGCUGAGGCGCGAAAGCGUGGGGGAUCAAACAGG
rnacentral:rRNA from 1 species